AUACUUGCACCUCUAGUGCAUGCACACUCCGGUGGGAGCUUCAUAUUGACUUCUUAUGAGGCUGGUACUCUUCUAACUAACUUUAUCGUAGACCAUUAUAGAAUAUGGCUACUGUACUAUCUCUCGUAUACCUCUGAUAUUAAGAGCGAUCCUACAAUGUUCUCAAUCACGAUUUCUAUAAUUUUUUGGGUCCAAUAAUCCAACUCCUGAUUUACUUCGUUAUUGUAACUCUUUAGUUUCCUCUUCCUUCUGAUCAACCUUUAUGUAGGCUUAAGCUAUCUUCUGAUCUGUGGCUUACGGUAUAGUCAUUACUUUAGCCUUUCAUGGGCGCUAUGGAAUAUCCAUGAUACAAUCUUCUGAUAAUUCAAUCCUUUGUCUAUGCCCUAGGCUCAAUUCUUUCUUUUAACUUAUACUGAAGUCUUCUACGACUGUAUGAUUGUCAACAUCUAUGCUGCAUAGAUAAUACUCUGAAAUCUUGAGUGCAUUCAUAACGUAACUAACUCUGGAUCAUUGAUCAAAUAAUUCCUUUCGUUCCCUCUCAACUUUCUUUAAAUGUAAGCAACUACUUUUCCUGGUCGUUCUGCCACUUCUUCCAUGAAUGCUUGGCUUAUCUUAGUGCCCACACAUAUUGGAAUUCCGUACAAACCAUAUGAUCUUGAAUAUCACCUUUUGAUUUUUUUUUCCUUCUUCCCGUUCAUAGCCAUGAUAAGUGUCACUUUCUUAUGGAGUACAUACAAUGUUGUUGUGAGAUUGUUGUUACAAGACCAUUUUUUUUCUUCAAGUUACUAUGCUUAGGUUGAAGCCUUCUUCCGUAUUUCCUCAGCUAGUCUUUCAUUGUAGUACUUAGGGAAGACCUUCUGACUCUUGUAAAGUUGCGAGCUUAUUAUAUCGUAUACUUGACGGAAUUUUUCUUUUUGAUGUUCUUCCCCGUCUAUAAUUAUCCAUAGUUAUUUAUUUCUACGCCCUUGUGCUUGUCGGGCUGCUUCUGAACUAAUAUUUUGACUGUCUUCCCAGUGGCAUUCUAUUUCAUUUACCUUUAACUACCCCAACUCCUAUCUUAAUAUAUCUCAAGGAUCACGAUGUUAUAUCUGCGAGAUUGAAUUCCCCAUGUUGGGGUUCACUAUGUUCGUCUUACACAAUCUGUUGAUUUGUCUGUGUCCUCUUGUUUAGCCAUAACUAGGCUCUUCCUGAAUUAACUACUAACUACUCGUGGGCCUAUUCUCAUAUCAAUAUUCCGCGUAAUCUUCCUUGGGUUAUUUCCUUUGUCUUAACUUACGUCUCGCACUGGUUCCUUAUCUAUCAAUAACAUCUCUGGUAGGAACCCUUACUUCCUCUCCUUGAUGUCGUGCUUGUAUAAUGUUCUGGAAUCAUAGCAUAUCUAUAGGAUUUGAAUGAGUGCAAUCUCAUCCCUUUCUCAUUUUUAUCGCAUUCUUCCUUUACCAUUCCAUAGUUACUAGAAUCACUUAAUUCUGACUUAAUGCCACAUCACUCCAUAUUCCCUCCUUUAGGGGAGCACUAAGAUUUAGUACUACGAUGAUCUACGUAUAGAUGUUUUACCUUCUCAUCUUUGUCAUCUUUUCACAUCAUCGAUGAUCCUUACUUGCCUCGCGAUAAUCCUUCUGUACCAAGGAUAACAAAAUUCCUUACUCGCGAUGGUGACACUUAGUAUAACUGGCACAUACAGUCCCUUAAGCUUAACUUUGCUCAUAUUUCUUGCUUUAGGAAAGUGUCUUCCUGAAUAACCAUUCUCUGAAUUUCUCAUGAAUCUUCUUCCAUUAUCCAUUUUACUAUCGCCGAAACGUAAUCUGAAAUUCUCAUGAUACUGACUAUUAUCCAAUCACUCAGUCCUUAACUCACGUUUAGUUUAUCUUGUUCACCAGCCCAUACCGAUUUCUAUUAUUCUGGGGUCUAACUCUUUCUUCUGGUAAUCACGUUAGAGUCAUGAACUUAUUUCUCGAAAUGAGGAUAUGACUUCAUGGCCUAUACUCUUUUGUUGUCUCAAGGCUUGUCACCUCUCGUCUUUUCCUUCACUUGAUUAUAGACUCUGUAAUAUUGUCAUCAUUUUCAUUUUUUCUUUUUCUACCGUUGUCAUCCAGGUAUCACAUCUUACUUAUAAUGCUUCAUUAACUCUUUUCUUAUUUCCCACUAACAUCUAUGUCUAUCACUUUAUUCGAAAAACUCGAACAAGACAUUCUUUUGCUUUUAGCUCCCCUUGCUCCAUCCAUUGGCUUUUCGAAUUUCCUAACAUUCUUUCUCUACUAGGGACGAGAGCCACACAAAGAUAAUAUUUAUCCCUUCAAGGCUUCCAGUGCCUAUCUUUGUAAUAUUCAUAUAUGGCUGUACUAUUGUAGAGUUCACCAUCUGGGUGUCUCACAAGGAGAUUUGUUAGCACAUUUGCAAUAUACUUCGGAAAUGUCAACUAACGCAAAUAAUCCAUCCACCAUUUUGGGUCACUCUAAACCCAGUCGGAUCCUGAUAUUCGUCCUUCUCUUAUACUACUUCUGUUAGCUUCCAUAGGGCAUAAAUGAGAUGGGUGUGGACAAUUGUACAUACCUUUGUUACAAUUGAAGGUAACUCAAAAUGCGUAUAUUUCUCUGCUUGAAUUAUAGAUAAUGUUCAUCUCUACUAACUAGGUACCUCGUACCCCUCUUCAUCUUGCUUCUUUUACUUGUUGAAACUUGUACUUUCUGAUUCUUUCAUUGCUUUUUACCCUAAGAGUGGUUAGGCAUUCUUGCCUUAGGGAUCCUUAUCAAGAAACUUACACAUCUUAUAUACAUAUUAUCUGUUGAAUACCUCAUAUUUAUCCAUCAUAAGCAUAAUGCCAAAAAUUGAGUUCCUCAGACUCAACUCAUCCACAGCUAUAUCUCUUACCAACCGUCUUUCUGGUUGUAGGCAUCAUCAUAUUAUGAACAAGAUAGAGUUUAGGAAAUUGAGUUCUUGCAACUGAGCUCUACCACAUGAUCUAGAAUAAGAAGAAAGAGUGACAGUCCUAAAUGCCCUGUAGCCUCCUGCUUAUAAGUGUGGUGCACGACACAUCUAUAAACAAGACUCUACUAGACAAGGCUUGUAGACUCCCUAGGACAGAACUGCUCUGAUACCACUUUUGUCACGACCCAAAUCGAUGGGCCGCGACGGGCACCCGGUACCUUACUCAACCGAGUACCAACAUAACGUAUCUUUCGUAUCAUUCCAUCAUAGGUAAAUGAACCGGAGUAAAGCAUAAGGGAAUAAACUUAUACAUAUGACAUACUGGCCUAUAAGACCCAAAACGAUCACUCGUACACUGAACAUAGGCCGACAAGGCCAUACAACCUUUCAUAUACAUGACAUUUGUCUACAAGCCUCUAAGAAUACAUAAUUGUCAUAAAGGUCGGGACAGAGCCCCGCCAUACCAAACAAUACACAUCUAAAUCAUACUGACCAAACAAGCAACUCCGGAGCAAAUGGAGUGCACCAACAUCUUCUGUUGAGCCGAUCGCCUACUUGGAGGACUCUCGACCUAUUUAUCGACACCUGCGGGCAUGAAACGCAGCAUCCCCAGGCAAAAGGGAUGUUAGAACAAAUAAUGUACCGAGUAUGUAAGGAAUGAAAAUCAGUAAAUAAUAGACAUGAGAGAAACAUAGAGUAAAUGACUCGACAUGUACGUCUGCAUAGCUCUGUGAAUCAUUUCAUUUUUAUAAUGUCAUGCAUAUGCGUAUAAAUGUCAUACGAUGCAUAGGUAUAUGCUUUCAUAACAACAUCAAGCCUCUAAGGGCAUCCCAUCAUAUCAUUUCGGCCACUGUGGGCAAAUCAUCAACGUAUACCAGCUGAUCAAGUGGUGGUGCGUAUAUAACGUUGCAACCUUUUCCCAUAUCCCAUAAUACAUAUAAUAUACGCAUAUUUAAUGUCAUUUGGUCAUGGGUCAAUGUACAUGUAUAAAUGCAUGAAAUGCAUAAGAAAUACGUUAAUAAGAUUUCUUGGAAUGUCAUAAAAUUGAUAUGCCUUUCGGAUAAAAUUUAUCAAAUAUGUAUUUUUCUGAGACCCAUGAACAAAAGAUAUAAUAAUAAUUCACAUGGGGAAUCAAUAAUAUAGAUACCCCUAGUACUUCUAUGAAUAGAGUCAUUUAUGAAAAUUAUGCAUUUACUCGUUUCGUUUGUAUCGUAUGGAUCAUACCAAAAAGAAAGAAGGGAUAGCCUUAACAUACCUGAACCGAUUCUCUUGACAAUCCCUCCAAUAAACGUUGAUUGCGACAAAAUAUGUAACGGCGAAUUGAAGUAGGGGAAAAUUCGUAUGAUAUUCUUUGAGAAAGAUUACACCGUACUCCCUUAGAAUCGCAAAAUCUUGUUACUAUAACAUUACGUAGUCUUUGUAUGAAAGAUUGAAGCCACUUCACGUUGCUAAGAUAAUAUGGUAUUUUUGAUUGAAAUGUUGUUGAAGAUCCGUUUCUUGCCAAAUGGAAAUUAGAGAGGUCUUUAUGAUUUAUAUGGUGUGGGCCCCAUAUCUAAUGACUAAGCCACAUAAUAAACUUAAGUGUGACACCUCUCAAUCAUAACUCAAGAGUCAUUAAGUUGGCUUUAGCUUGCUGCCAACCCUCAUUAAUCACACGUGGAUUUGUCCCCCUUAACAAUUAUCCCAAUAAUUAUCCACAAAAUUCAAUUUACAAGUUAAUCUCCCACUAACAAAAAUUCAUAAUUAUCCAAUUAUCCACAUAAUUAAGAAUUAUCUCAAUUUACUUAAAAUACUACUCACUUUUAACACACUUUAUACGCCUUACUACCAUGGCCAUAUUGUACCUUGUAUGGUAUUAGUCCAUAAAUACCGGGUAUUUUAGCUCGGGACGUAUUUUAUCCCAACAUGUCAAACUUCGACGAAAUUCAUUUUCUUCAAUUUUCUUACCCUCUCUCCUUCACGAAUUUACUCAUCACUUAUUUGAAAUAGCAUAAUGCUUAUAAUCGCAAUAUAAUCCCAUUCCCGGACUUACGUCGAUUAACUUACGACGUAACUUUAACGUACGAAAAUAUGGGUAGUAAUAUUCCCGUCAUAUUCAAACCAUCUGAACAUAUCCCGCAGUCACAUCCUACUCAUCAUAUAACCAUCCAAACACUCACCGAGCCACAAGUCCCGCUCAUAGGGACACCACUGGACAUAGAAGUCCUAAAGCACAUGCUCACACAACUGAAACUACCGAGCCUAAGCUAUAGUCUAAAUCGGGCCUCAAGUCCUCCAGACUGGCCCAUCACCAAAACACAGAAAACACAUCUCGCACCUCAUCCAUGGAAUCCACGAGACGUCGAUGUAGAGCUGAUACCGAGCGCUCACAUGCGCAUACGAGUGAGUGGAAGGAAUUUAAGGAGAUAUGCUUCAAGCUGAAUCAAUGUCGUACGAUAAGGAAAGAAAGAUGGAAAGUUUAUCCUUUUACGUACGGACUCUCAUCACCUCAUGCGUAUAUAGCACCCAUAACUAGUAGUAGAUAACAAUUUAACACCUACAGGGUAGUUUUUCCCUCACAAGAUUAGACAUGAGACUUACCUCGCUUCGAAGUUCCAUAACCAUUUCCAAAGCCUCUCUACAACCUCAAACUGGUGCCCAUCAAUCCGAAACUAGUCAAACUUCAUGCAAACCAACAAAAAUAUACUCCAAAACUCAUAAUUAAUCAAUUUAUAACAAUUCUCAACUCCGCUCGAAAAGUCAACAAAGUCAACCAUCGGGCUCACGUGCCCAGAUUCCUAAACUUUAUUAAGAUAAACAUUACUCAUGACACCACGAACCCAAAUAUAUAAUUGAUUCCCAAUUCCAUGUCCAAUUUCGUGGUCAAAAUCCAAAAAAUAUCAAAUUCUAGGUUUUCUUCCAAAUCCCACAAUUUCAACAAAAUUUCAUGUUUAAACCAUAUAUAACUCAUGUACUUAGCUCACAAUAUGUAGAAGUUUCUUACCUCAAGGUAGGUGAUAAAGUUAGCUCCUCCAAAUCGCCCAAAACCACCCAAGCAAGAGAGAAAUGAGUUGAAAAUGAGAAAAUCCCGACUUUGCAAGCUUAUAAUCUGCCCAUGCGCCCUUCUUCGCGAAAGCUGAAAUUCCCUCGCGUUCGCGAAGCAUAACCAACUUCAGCUCCCAAAUUCCUCUACGCGAACACGAGAAAAGGCACGUGAACACGAAGCUUUACCAGCCUGCCCAUCGUGAACGCGUCUUCACUUUUGCGAACGCGAAGACCAAGUCCCCCACCAGGCUAGCUUCUUCAUCGCGAACGCGAUCAUAGAAUUGCGAACGCGAUCAUAGAAUCAUGAACACAAAGCCUUGCUGCCCAAACCUUCAUGAACGCAUGACGAUAGUCACGAAUGCAAAGCACAAAAUUCUCAGCAACCAAAAUCCUUCCUCGCGAACGUGAGCACCCCCAUGCAUUCGCUAUGAACAACACCAGAACCAGCAACAUCAGCAGCAAAACAUACGGAAAUGAUCUGAAACUACCCCGAAUCACACCAAAAAGUCCCAAUACCUUAUCCAAAGGCUCGAAGCGCCACGAAUAACAUCAAAAUCAUGAAUCGAAGAUCAAAAUUCUUCUCUUAGCUUUCAAACAUUCAAACUUCGACGAAUGCAUCUGAACCAUAUCUAAACAUUUCUGAAUGGUGCCAAACUUUACGUACAAGUCCCAAAUCAUAAUAUGAACCUAUUCCAAGGCUGGAAAUCCUAAACUGGCAUCAAUAACAUCAAAGUCCACUUCAAAUCAAACUUAGAAAAUUCAAAAAUCUUCAAAAUGCCAACUUUCCACAAUAAGCAUUGAAAUGCUCUCGGACAAUCCGAUACUCAACCCAAACAUACGUCCAAGUUCGAAAUCAUCAUACGAACCUAUAUAAACCUUCAAAUCCUGAUUCCAAGGUCGUUUACUUAAAAGUCAAACCUUGAUCAACUCUUAUAACUUAAAACUUCCAAAUUGAGAAUUUUCCUUCCGAAUCGACUCCGAACUUCCCGAAAUUCAAUUCCGACUACGCGUACAAGUUAUAAACAUGAAGUGAAUCUUAUUGAGGCCUAAAAUAACCGAACGACGUGCUAGAGCUCAAAACGACAGGUCGGGUUGUUACAAAGAUGAGAUAAGCAGAAGCUAUGGUGGUCAAAAUCUGGCCAGAUGUACAAAAUUUCUCGGCGAGAUUUAGCCAAGCCGUCAGUGGUUAGAGAGAGAGGAGAAAGAAGCGAGGUGCAGUGGCAUUGGGUCGCUGGUGAAUUUUUGGCCAGCAACGUGCAGAGAGAGGUUUGAAGUAGGCUGCCAUUUUGAUCCUCAAAUGAGAGGAUAUUUUUUAGAGGGGUGCGGCUGAAGCUUCUCUAAUGAGAGAAUGAGAAGAGUGGGUUAAAGUUAGCUUUUGGGCCCUAGAAAAAGAUGAUGGGUGAGGGGUGUGUUGUGUAUGUGUAGAUAUUUUUAUAUAAUGGGGUGUUAAAAACAUGUGGUCAUCAUUUAAUUAAAAAAAAUAAAAAGGCAAUGUAAGAAAUAAAAGAUGUUGUCCAAAAUUAAAGAAAGUCAUGUCGCGUAAGGUCACGUCAAGUCACAUCAGGUCAUAUCAUGAUGUCUUGUCACAUCAAGUGUGUCAUCACAUCAGAUGUUAAUGGGAUAUUAGAUUUGACUGGACUCUAUCCGUAUUUUAAAUUAAAUGUAUCGGCUUCCAAGUAAUUACUAGAUUGCCUUAUAAAUUGAAAGAUGAUUAUUUAACAAAAUUAUGACUUGCAGUAUUUAUUAAAAUGCCAACUACUACAACAAUAUUGUAGUAAUUAUUAUUUAUUUUUUGAAAGGACAAUAAAUUGAUAGAAUAUCCUAAUAUUUGAAAAAUAGGACAAUUAUCAAUAAAUUACUUAAAAUUUAGAAAAAUGCACAAAAAUGGUAGUAUUUAACUAAUUGCAAUAAAAUGAUAAAAAUUCUCAUAUUUUGUAAAAAGAGGAAUAAUUAUCAAUAAAUUGUAUUAAAGCUAAAUAAUGUACAUAAAACUAUAUUUUUAUCAUUUUGACUAGGAAGCUUGCAGAAGUUAAUUUUUAAAUAUGGAGGGUCAAAAUUGAGUAUCAACACUACUAAAGCAAUCUUUCUCAACUACUAGAGUAAUCUUCCUCAACUACUAGAGAAAUCUUUCUCAACUACUACGGUAAUCUUCCUCAACUACUAGAGCAAUCUUCUUCAACUACUAAAGUAUUUUGAGACUCUACACACAGGGUGUGAGUGUAGUACCAGGAAUCGUAGAAGCUAGUAAAAUAGUAUAGUAGAUAUUGAAUUACUAGAAUAGAAAUUGGAUUACCUUCGUAGAGAUUGAAUUACCUCGGUAGAGAUUGAAUCACCUUAGAAGUGGUUGAAUUAUUCGCACAAAAGUCUUCCUACAAUGGGAGUGUUGGAGUCUCACAAAAGGCAUCCCUCACCACAACUAGGCCGUCAACAGCGAACUCGAAAAACUUUUGCACUCCUAAUGCAACAACUACUAAAGAAAUCUUUCUCAACUACUACAGUAAUCUUCCUCAACUACUAGAGCAAUCUUCUUCAUCUACUUAAGUAUUUUGAGACUUUACACGCAAAUAUAAACCAGCGAUAUCCCCAUAUUUUGGAGGAAGAAACUAUAAGAGACUUAGCUAGAAGAAGACGUUUUAUUACACAAGAGUUUUUACAAGAGAACUAGGUUGGAAUUAAGAUAUCCUCCAACUACAACAAAGGCUCCUAUUUAUAGGAGAUGAAAAGCUAUUACAUGCACUACCCUUACUUAAUUACAUAGUACAAGUGGCAUAAAACAAGAACGACAAACAUAAAAGUCUUACAAUGUAAGAUACUUAUUUGACCAAUAGAUAAAGCAUAAAAGCAUGAUAAUGAAAUAGAAAACAAAUUGCACGGCCAUGGAUGAUGACAAAGGAACUCAUGAAUAGUAUUUGCAUGGCAUCGGGUUCGAGUAAAUUUAUGGUUUGACAUGGAUGACUUUUCUUUGAUGACAGGAGGAACCUUUGAAUAAUACUUGCAUGGCAUAGAACUUUGGAAACUUUAUGGAAACACAUGGGUAGGCAACUUAAUUGAUAUAUUUUUGAAUUUUUAUGGUAACCUUUGGUGGGUUAAAGGGCUAAAAGAUGAAAAACUUGUGCAGUUUGUUUGUUUUUUCAUGGUAAUUUCUGGUGGGGUAGAGUAGUGAAAAAGAUAAAGAAGGCGUGCAUACUUUUAUUUUUUCAAUGGGUACUUACCUAGGGGGUUAAGAGGUAAAAAUAGUUUGAGACACUUGUGCAGUUUUUUAGUUUAGGAAAAAGGGAAAUUAUGGAAGGGAAGCUAGCUAAAAAGGUUUAGAAGACUUAUGCAAAUUAUUUCCUAGCUCAUGAUUACGCAUUAUGCUUAUCUUUAACUCUUCUAGCCUUCGCUUUUCAGCUCUUGUAAAAUAUCUCUUUAUGUGUGGAUGAUCUUCUUCCAUAACUCUUGCUUUUUUAGCUGUCCUCUUCUGCAACGAAUUGUUGUUUUCCCCAUUUAAAAUAAUCUUAGCAAUUUAUGCUGGAUUAAUUUCAUAUGGGUCUUGUGAGUCUCGAAAAUCACGGCACUUGAAUUCCAUGAGAAUGUGGUAUUGACGGCAGAGAUACCAAAAGAACCAUAAGAGCUCUUAUGAAAAAUUCUUUGCUUGCACUAUGAACACCUAGCAAUAGGGAUAUUCCAGAUUAAUACCAAAAGGUACUAGUAUGGAAUUUCCGUAGUUUCAAAAAACUUGGAGUUCAUAAAAUCCCUUCGCCCUAAUAAGAUGGACGGAUCAAGAGGAUCCAAAAUAUCAAACAACUCCGGCGGGUGAUGUAAUGUUGCAGAAACCUUUUGGAAAAUUCAUCUGGGCGUGAACGGAAAUCAGCAAGAAUACUAUAUUUCCCUUUCAAGUGCUUGACCUGAAACUUGUAUGGAGAGAACCAUUGAGCCCUGAGAAUUUGCGUAUACGGAAUGACCAUUGGAUAUCAUCCUCGGAAAAACCUUCAUAUCCAUCUCAAUAAGAAACUCUUAGUGAAUUAGGAAAAAAUUAAACUUUUUAAUCUCAUUUUUCACUGCAAGAAUCUCCUUGAAAGUGGAAUGAUAGUGUUGCUCAGCAUCCUUGAAUCUUCCACUAGCGUAACCACAUAUUUUUCUCUGGCCUUUUUCUUCUUCAAAUAAAAUUGCGCUCCAAUAUUCAUUGCUAGCAUCUAUCUGCAACAUUUUCUUUUCAUUGGAGGGAAUGUACAAAGAUUCGAUAUUUUGGAACACCUCUUUUAUUUUUCUAACUGCAUUAUUUUGUUCUUUGCGCCAUGGCUGGGCAUUUUUCUUCAAUAUUUUUGUGAGAGGAGAAAUAUAUGUAGAAAUAUUAGGAAUAAUCUCACAUAAUUUAUUAUUCUCAAAAACUGUUGGAAUUGCUUCGUUGUGAACCCAGUAUCAGGGAACUUGAGAAGUUCCUGAGAAAUAUGAGGACAUAGGAUGUAUUCUCCAUGGAUAAAAUACAUGCCUAAAAAUCAAUUUCUUGUUAUGCAAAAACCAUUUUUUGGAUGAAAGCAUUAUACCAUUCUUUCCACUAAAGAUGCAAAAUGAUUGAGCAAAUUUAUGUGUUCCUCCAAAGUAUCACUAAACAAUAAAAUAUCAUUAAUGUAAACAAGUUAUGUGUGGAUAAUUGGCUGAAAUACUUUUAUUAUGGCAUUUUGAAACAAAGAUGGAGCAGUUUUUAAACCGAAAGGCAUGACAUUCUACUGAAAAUGGUGAUUGGGAAUGCAAAACCAGUUUUUCCCUAUCAUCCAGGUGGAUUCUCAAUUCCUUAAAGCCUGAUUUGAGAUCAAACUUAGAAAAAUAUUUUGCUUUGGCAAGUUGGGAGAAAAGGGUGAGCUUAUUUAGGAUGGAAAAAUUAUCGUCAAAAAGAAAAUGAUUGAGCAGUUAGUAAUUAAUUACCAAUCUAAAUUUACCUCUUGUUUGCUUGGUCUUUUGUUGACAUAAAAUUCUUCGCAUGCCCAUUUUGAAUUUGAUGUCUCAAUAAGAUCAAAAUUCACUAGCUCCUAACACUCCUUUUUUGCAAGAUGAAGGUUGUCGGAAUUCAUAUCAGAGUGACUUUCCUUUGUAGGAUUGAUAUUCUCAUUAUUUUUGAAAGGCAACUUGAUGAAGAACUCUUCAUUUUUUCAUAAAGAAGUCACAUUUGGUUAAGAAUUCAGUGUGAGAUUCUGCACAGGAGUGUGGUGUGAUCUGUGCUUCAAUUUUCCUUACUUGAUCUUCUUUUAUGAGCUGGAACAAUCUCGGGACUGCAUAAUAUGGCUUGAGCUUCUUUUUGAAUGUUAUCCCAUUGGCUUUGAUCUUGAACUUGUCCUACAAAACCCUGUAAAUGUCAAAACCAAUAAUCAAAUCCUUACCAAUCAAUUUGGUCAUGUACUUCAAUCCUAGGAAGAAUUCCAUAGUGAUCGGGGGCUUGGUAAUGAUAGUUGUGGUCAGAAUUCCAUUUGAGGCCGUGUUAAAAUUCUUGAAGUAUGGCGCUCAAUACUCAUAAAGAAAGACCGCAUGAUUAAUGAGUGAGGAGUUUGCUCCCAUGUUAAAGAAAGCUAUGACAUGUGUUGGUUUGUCCCACUUGGAUGCAUAAACUUUAAUUACUACUUGCGGGAUUGUUACGAUCCCAAAAUCCCACCUAAGGUAGUCGUGAUGGCACCUAGUCUCUAAGACUAGGUAAACCUAAUAUUCAUUUAUAGCUUAACAGAAAUAAUGAACUAAGAUAACAAAAUAAACCGAUAAAGAAAACUCAUAAUAACUACAAAGCGGAACAUCAGUAACAAGAUCCCCAAAACCGGUGGAACUAAGUCAUAAACUCUACAGAAUGUACUAAAAUUUCUAAUAAAGGUGACUCCGAGACCUGCAAGUGUCGAGCAGGUAUACCUUGAAGUCUUUGGGAAUAAUUGUACGGUCACUAGCGUCCGGCACGAGCAGAUGUACCUGGAUCUGCACAAAAAUAUGCAUAAGCAUAGUAUGAGUAUACCACAAUGAUACCCAGUAAGUAUCAAGCCUAACCUCGGUAGAGUAGUACGAGGCCAGGUCAGGACACCUACCAGGAUAAGAAAAUUGAACAGAUUAUAGUAUAGUCUAAUAAUGAAAAGCGAGGAAAUAAAUGACAAUAAGGCAGUACAAUAAUAUAAGCUAACAAUGAAAUUUAAGGUAAUGAAGACAACAAGUAAUGAACACAUGAUAAGAACAACAAGUAAUCAAUUACGGACAAAUAAAAGUAAGACAAAUAAGGAAACAACAAGAAUUGUUCAAUCAACAAGCCUUUUUAACAUGUACAAUAAGAAUCACAACCGAGGUAACACACCUCAUAACCUCAUUUCACAAAUCAUAAUAACAAUCUUUCCUUAUAUCACCGCGUGAGCCUUACAUUUAGAUUUUUGAAAAUAUUUUCCCAAAGUAGCUACACGCGCUUUAGCCACCUUAUGUCGUCGCGUGGCUUCAAGUAAUUUCUUUACUAGCAACACGCACAUAAAUCCCACCUUAUGUUGACGCAUGCACAUAAACUCCUAUUCUUAUACCGUCGCAUGCGCAUUAAUAUUACAACACAAUAACAUCUCGUACCACACAUGCCCAUAUGCCACAACUUGCCAAAAUCAUAACCAAUAUUACCACAACAUAUAGCCCACGACUCAACCAAAAUGUGUACAAGAAUCUCAAAUUAACAAAAUGAAUGAGAAAUACUCAACAAGGGAAGAUAUCUCAAUAACUAAUAACUUCAACCUCAAUGUUUUAAUAGCUUUCGCUACUUCAACUUCAAUAACUCAACAUGAUGGUAUUUCCACGAAAUGACAAUUUUCAAUCUAAAUGUACAACAUAAUCUUAACAAUGAAAGAGAUGGUAUGAAAUUGUAUCUACAUCUAAAUGUAUGAGAAUAACUCAACACGAAAAGACAUCAUGUAAUAACAACUCCAAAUAAGAAUAACUCGACAAUAAAAGAGUUAACAUGACAAUAAGAGAGAUAACAACGACAAUUAAGGCAUACAAGAGCAUGUUUGACAAUAAAAGAUAGAACCUAUGAUAACAACAUCAAGUAAUGCAUGUAAGAGAAAUUUAACAAUGGAAGAUAUAACGUGAUAUGACGAUUUCCAAUUAAAUACAUGAAAGAGUCUAAGAGUCUAAACCGGUCAAAUUACCAUAUAUAAGCCCGUGUACACGACGUACACACUCGUUACCUUGUGUACAUUUUUUCAUAUAAUUCAAAUAAUGCAAUCAACCCAAAUCCUAAAGGGUAGUUUCCCCUACACAAAGUUAGGCAAGAUACUUAUAUCAAACAAGCUAAAUCAAUCUCCUAAUAAGCCUUUCCCACGUAAAUCCAACUCCGGACGGCUCGAAUCUAGCCAAAAUAACUUUAAAACAUAAAUACAAGCCAUAGGAAGUAAUUUCGGUUAGUAAAGUUUCAAUCUUUAAAGAAAUUGAAAAGUCAACUCCGGGAUCGCACCUCGAAACCCGACCAAACUUAUAAAUUUCGAACACCCAUUCCGAUACGAGUCCAACCAUACUAAAAUUAUCCAAUUCCGACGUCAAAUCAACCUUCAAAUCCAUAAUUUAUGGUUUAGGAAAGUUUUUAAAAAUAUCCUCAAUUUCUCCAACUGAAAUCACUAAUUAAAUGAUAAAAACGAAGAUGGAAUCAUGAAUAAUGAACAAAUCCGAGUAAAAAAUACUUACCCGAUCCAAACCUUGAAGAUCCCCUCCAAAAUCGCCAAAAUUCGAGCUCUUUAACUCAAAAUAUGGGAAAUUAAAUAAAACCCUCAUUCUAGUUUAUUUCUACCUAGUGAUUUCUCCUUCUACGGUCUAGUAGCCGCUUCUACGGCUCCGCAUCUGCAGAAAUUCAUCGCAGAUGCAGUAUUUCAUUAAGCCCAGGAAGUCUGCUUCUACGAACCUAUAAGCGCAUCUGCGCGUCCACUUUUGCAGAAAAUGAUGGCACAUGCGGUGCCCUGGCCAACAAUCCAAAUCCACAUUUGCGGAGAAAUGACUGCUUCUGCGGUUGCGCAUCUGCGCAAAGCUAUCUGCACAUGCAAUCCCAGCUCACCCAUCUCACAUCUGCAGCCACUGGGCCGCUUCUGCGGCGUCGCACCUGCGACCGUACCAUCGUAGGUGCAAUUGCACCAAUUCACAACAGGCAUCAAAAUCCUCCAAGUCUCCAAAAUAAAUCCGAAUUCAAUCUGAAUCACACCCGUUCCCCCCUCCCCCCCCCCAGGACCCCGUCCGAACAUACCAUCAAGUCCCAAAACAUAACACAAACCUACACAAGGCCUUAAGUCACAUCAAACAGCAUCAAAUCUACGAAUCGCACCUCAAUUCAAGCAUAUUCAAUCAAUGAACAUUUCACUUCUAAAACUAAUGUCGAAUCAUAUUAAACCAACUCCAAAUGGGCUCAAAUUUUGCAUUCAUGUACCAAAUAAUACAACGGACCUGUACCAACUCCCAGAAUCAUAAUCCGAGCCCGAUGUCAAUAAAAUCAACCCCCGGUCAAACCUAUCAACCACCCAAAACUUUAACUUUCCAACUUUCGCACAAAAGCAUCAAAUUAACCUACAGACCUCCAAAUCAACAUCUAGAUAAUCUCCUAAGUCCAAAUUCACCAUACGAAGCUACCAGAACCAUCAAAACUCCAUUCUGGAGUCGUCUACAAAAAGUCAAACUUCGGUCAACUCUUCCAACUUAAGCUUUCAACCUUGGGACUAAGUGUCCCAAAUUACUCUGAAACUCACCCGAAACCAAACUAACCACCCCGGCAAGUCAUAUAAUCAUAAUUGAAUAUAGAGGAUACAAUAAAUAGGGAAACAUGGCUAAAAUACUCAAAAUAACCAGCCGGGUCGUUACAGGGAUCAUUGUGAUGCUGUGGAUCUCUUCUUUCACCUUUGGCUUUGGUUAUGAAAUUUGGUAAUGAUUAUCACCAUAUUCCUCAUAAACAUCCAGCAAAAAGAGAGUCUCUUCUGUGGGCUCAUCUUCGAGUGAGAAAACUGAUUCAAGAUCAUCGUCCUCAUUGAAAUGAAUGCCUGUGUAAUCUGUAAUCUCAGAGAGAAGACUAAUAGACUACUUGGACUGCAUGCAGUUUCACGCAAAAUAUCCUAUUUGCUUACAAAUAAAAUAGGCUCAACUUCUCCUUGCAUUGCCCGGCCUUCUCCUUCUGAAGUAUUUUGUUUCCUUCUGAACAUGGACCCGUCGCCUGAGAAUUUUGGCAACCUGAAGCUUUUGAACUUCUUCCUUGGCGCCUGACAUGAGCAAUCUUUCUUACCUGUGAUUAAAUCUGACAUGCGGCAAGCUCUAUGAAGUGUUGCAUCAUUCUUUAGUAUCUAUUUUAGAGCAGAUCUUUUUGUACAGAUAUCAUCAAGAGCAUAAAAAAUGGCUUGCCUAAUGUAACCAAUAUUCUGAGCAGUUAUUGAUUAAUAUUUAUCUUCUAUGACGGUCAUGGUUCGACCAUCCAACAUCUUUGGUAGGUAUGAAACAAAUGCUUGUUUUAGAUUGAUAUCCUCACCCAGUUCAAAAAAUGAUUUUUGCCAUUUUCUGGAAAUGUUUGUCAAUGAUAUCUCUAUCCAAAUACACACACUUCAUUUCAAAAAGUUGUCUUCGAAGUUUUUCAUGCCUACGGACAGCAUCACCACAGAAAACUUCAUGCAAGAUUCUAAUGUUAAAAGAAAAAUCUUGGGAAGUAAGGAAAACAUUUUUGUCCUGCAACCUAAGUGAAUUCCACCAGUCUCGAAGAAUACCUGAGAGGCGAGAAGUGAAAUCUGAUAGAAUUAUGUACUUUUUCUCUCUGCCAAAUUCUUGGUCACCAUCCAAAUGUAGAAAGUUUGGAUUCUUUGAGGCCAUCUUGAGACUUUUAUAUCAUCUAAGUAAAGGCAUGGAAACCAGUACCUACCUAUUUGGCUGUGGCAAAAUCAUAUCUCCUUUCUGGAAUGGGCUCAUCAAUCAUUCUAUCUUGUUCAUUGUCAACUUCGGAGACCUCCAGCUCCCUAGGCUGAUUCAUGAAAAUGGGAGGAAGUUCUUCUUCUGAAGAAUCUUGGGAGGAAUCAUUACUUACCUCGGAACUAUCCUCUAUUAGAACUUUUUGGAUAGAAUCAUUAGUAAUCUCCUCUGUUUGUUGGGUAUCGGACCUUUGAGAUGUUACUUACUCUAAAUCACUCUGUGGUUGGGCAACAUAGAGGCUUGGGGUUUGGAGGGUAAAGAUCAUGAGGUUCUCAUAGUUGGCAUUUUUUGAGCUUUUUCCUACCUCUCUUUUCUUUUUCGGGUGUCUAUGUGCUGCAAGUGCAUCUUUUCUUUCCCAAACUAACUUUGCAAUAUCAAAUUUGUGUUCUUCAAUAAUUUGAGCAAAUGGGUUAUGAGCAGCUAUAUGGCUUUUUCUUUAGGGAGAGGAAAAGCUAGAAAAAGGAUAAUCUAACUGAGGAGGGAAUAGGUUUGAGAUGAGAAUGUACUUGUAGGAGGAAGAGAAGUGACCUGAGGACUUCAGGGUUUCUGGGGCACAAAGUGAUCAUUUUUCAAGAGAUGUAUUUGUUCUCUUAGAGACACCAUCUCUUUCUGCUAUUGCUGGAAGAAAUGGAAAAAAGAAGUACCCGGCGAACAAAUAUCAUACUGCAAGCUUGCUAACCUAUGCUCCAAGGCUUUGAUAAGUCCUACAUGCUUAGAAGACUUAUCUACAACAUGUUCCACCUUCUUCUCAAUGUUUUCCAUCCUGCUAACCAUUUUAUUCUGAGUGUGUGCAACAUUUUUAACAAUGCUAUCAAUGUUGUUCAAGAUUCUAUUUUGAGAAAUAGAAUUUUCAGACUGCUAAUUGAUUGUUGUUUCAAUGUCACUAGAUGGUGAUUUUUCUCCUGAGGGUAAAACAAUAUUCUUUUUGGGGAUCUUGGGGUAUGAUCUGCACCAUCUUUACUGAAAUGUUCAAGAGGUGAAAAAUCAUGAGUAUAGUCAGUUCUAAUGGGGAUAUACAUUAGUAUUUCAGGAUUAUUGGGAAAAGCGAUUGCCUCGUCAUCUCCCCAACUAGGGAUGAUUGGCCUGGGAUUUUUCUCUUGCAAUUUUGGCCAUUCUUGAGGGUUAUUGCUGAUAAGGUAUUCAUACUUACUGGGCGGCUGAGCGAGCUAACUGAUGGGUCGCCUUUUUCAUACCUUUCUUGAAGGUGCAGAUGAUUUGCACUUUUUCUUUCUGGCCUUCUUAUUUUUCUUCUGGGCACCCGGUAGUAUUCUGUUAGAUCCUCAAGGCAUUCUUAGCAGGAACAUUCAAUAUCUCAUAGGCAAUGACCUGUGAAAUGAUUCUUGAACCACCACACAGUUCUACCUUUGAUGUCAAAGUGCACAAUCCAGUCAUGGUUGGGCAUGAUUCCAUCUAUCCGUUCGGAGAAAUAGUCUGGAUCAUAUCCAUAGGGAGAGUGGUACAUGGGUUGUAUCAUAUGGAAAGAAAAAAUAACCUUGUUUGGCUUUUUAAGGUGAGAGUGGUCAAAUCUUAUCAAGACACUUUGAUCAUUUUUCUCACAAUGGUUGACUCGGUGGAUGCGAGGGGUUAUGAGGGCUCUUUCAAUUUUUCAUAAUUUGUCACCCAUGAAUCUGGAAGAAUUUUACAAGUUGUUCUUUUGAAAUCUGUAUGGGGAUCUGGGUGCAUUGGGUAGUACCUUUUGUGGCAUCAACAUUGAUGAGCAAUUUCAACAUUUAUAUUGUUAUCAUCUUGGAUGAGUAUCCAUUCCCGUGUAUACUCGGUUAUCAUGACAAUUCAAUGAGCAAUUUCAAUAUUUAUGAGUCUAAUCAUAACAUUUAAGAAGAUUGAAUUAAACCAUUUAACCACCAAAUCAUAAGUCAAAUAAGACAAGUGUAUGACUACGGCUUAAUAAGAAAGCUCAACAUAGCAAAAAUAGUCAUUUAUAUCCAAUUCAACAAGUCAUAAUCUUAAGCAUGCUUCUAAGCCAUAUUUAUGACUCAUCACAUAGUGAAAGAAUCAAUAAAAUAUAGAUAAUAAACUUAUAUAGUCCAAACAAGACAUAAUUAUAAGCCAAACUCUAUCAGAUAUGGUCAUAACCUAGCUACGCCAUAUACACUCGUCAUCUCACAUAUAUGUGGCUCCUAGGUCAAGUAACAAGUAGCAAAUAUACCACCUAUGGGGAGAAUUUCCUCUUAAAAGGAUAAACAUGAGACUUACCUCAACCCGAUAAUUGUAAUCAAUCAACAACUACGUUUCCUUUGAAAUUCAACUCCAAACGACUCGAAUCUAGUUAAAUAGUACUUAAAUGAGUCAAUACAAGCUUUAGGAAUUGAUUUCAUAAUAAAAAGAUUCAAUUUUUAAUCCAAAUAAAAAGGUCAACAAAAAGUCACCACGGGCCAGAGCCUAGAAUCUGAAAUUGAUCAUAGAUAUAGUUCACCCAUAACCCCACGAGUCCAAAUAUAUAAUUAGAUUCUAAAUCGGGGUCUAAUUUCAUAAUCGAAACCCCUAAAAUCACUCUCUUAAGUUCAUACUAAAACCCCCAAUUUUUACACUUUAAUUCCUUAUUUUAGGGGUUAGAAUUCCAGGUAGAUCUUUAAAAUAGAAUCGCAAAUGAGUAAAAAUCACUUACCUCUUGCGUAGUUUAAAUGAAAAAUCGCUCCUCUCCAAGUCUAGGGUUCACAUCAAAUACUCUGAAUCUAUAAAUCCUUUAAUUUUUUUAAUUUUCGAUUCCACCAAUUUUAAUUCCAAUACGACAAAAAACACCCAUGAACUUCUCCACCUACUCAACUGUUGCAGUUUCGUAAAGCAUUUUCAACCUCUACGAACAAUCCCUCGCAAAAAUAUUUUUAUGAAACUUUCUAGAAUCUUUAAAAUUUUCACAUAAUAGAGUUUGAAAAAUAAGAAGAUGACAAUAUAUCGAUUUCGGUAUUGGUUGAGAUAAAAUCAAGGUGAUAUUGUUGUCGUGACUUUUGUGAAUACAAGGUGGAAUUAAUAAUAAAAUAAGUAUGACGGGGAGGCAAGUGAGUAUAGAUAAACAAAAAAAUUAUAGAUAUUCUAUUGUGAACAGAAGAAGGAGCUAUUGAUUCAGAAUUGUUAUGCUGGAAAAGUCUCUAUAUUGAACACUCUCUUAAUUUGUUAAUGCAUUGAGAGGGUCUGAGAUGGGAGAAGCUGAUAGUGAAAAUGAAUAUGUUGAUCAACCCAUGGGGAAACGACUCGGCUGGUCAAUCUAUAUACUAGAGCCUCAUUCCCCUAUUUGAUGCUUUCCGUAUGUUUAUUUAUUUUUUUGUAAUUUGUGGGGUGGGUUUGGUUUCGGGAAGGCUUAAGAGAGAAUUGGAAUACUUAAUUCUAUUUUUGGAAGCUUAAGUUGUAAGAGUUGACCAAGAUUUGACUUUUGAGUAAACUGUCACACCCCAAAACCGAGGAGCGCGACCGGCGCUCAACCAAGAGAACCCGACCGAGCAAGCCUGUUAGAUUUUCUUCUACCCAAACUCAUCCAUGAAUAAAGAAGAGAUGUACUCCAUUAAUCAAACACUGGAAAGAUUUCAUUAACAACUCCCAUUUCAUUCCUAUUUGCAGCUCCAUUCAUAAUUUUCAAAAUAUUACAAGUUUAUAGAUAUAAUGAAAAACAUGUCUGUUAAAUACCAAAUUUCUAGUUUUGACUCCCAACAUCAACCACCACCCACAACCUGUCUACAGAGCCUCUAAGUACAAUAGAAGAGUAAUAUGGAAAAUGCUGGCAACAAUACCCCGGCUAUACCUCAAAACACAGUACAUGAGAAACAAAAUAUACAUGACCCCGAAAUAAAGUGGGGCUCACCAAAUCAGCUGAAAAGAGUGUACUGCUAUCACUGAUCAAUACAGCCUGUUGUAGAACCACCUGCAUCCAUUAAAGAUGCAGCGCCCCCGGCAAAAGGAACGUUAGUACCGUCGAAUAGCACUAGUAUGUAUAGCUAAAAGUUCUCUUUUAAAAUAGAAUGCCCAUAUAAGAAAAGGCAACACAUAGAGAUAGCAAGUCACAAUCAGCAAUAUCCAAAUGUCCAGUUAAAACAUAAUAAUUUUUAAAAUACGAACAUCAUAUACAAUUUUUGAUUGGGAGAUCAUUAGCACCGAUAUUCCACCGUCUUUAUUAGCACGGAGUGCGAUCACGCCCAAUCGGCUAGGCCAUCUCCCCACGGACAAUGUGGUUUGACAGGUGAUGUGAAAGAAAGUUGUUAUCAAGAGUAGUACCACCAUGUGCGCAACAUGGAGUCCGAUCUCCACCCGAUCAGCUAGGCCGUCAUCCCACAUAUGCCGUGUGGGUUGACUUUUCUAUUCUAAUUAUUACUAAUUCAUCCCAAUUAAGGGGAAUGAUAUCAAAAUUUCAUCCCAAAUAAGGUGAAUAACCACAAUCCACCCCUACACCGGAAUGUGUAGUUUCAGAUGUGGGCCUUAUGACCCACCCUUCCUUGAUUUUACUAAUGAUGCUCCCAAAAAUAUUUUUGAUUUGAUUUGCACACAAAGGUAAUAUAAAUACAAUUGUACUCACCUCAACAUCUUUCACUUUGAAUAAAUUCUCAUUAGUAUUUCCAGUCAUUCACAACGACAAUAUUUCCUUCGCUCAUUUGACCAUUCACAAGAUUCUUUAUUCCUGGCACGAUGGUCGUAUUUCAUAUUCCGCACUUUCACCUCUUUUAAUUUCAAAGAUCACCAUCAAAUAUCAACAUAUAGAAAAUUUUAGAAACCAUAUACUUCAAAUCCAUUUGAAAUGGGAACUUCAAACACAAAUGGUUUCAUCCCAUGAAUGAGGCAUACCAACNNNNNNNNNNNNNNNNNNNNNNNNNNNNNNNNNNNNNNNNNNNNNNNNNNNNNNNNNNNNNNNNNNNNNNNNNNNNNNNNNNNNNNNNNNNNNNNNNNNNNNNNNNNNNNNNNNNNNNNNNNNNNNNNNNNNNNNNNNNNNNNNNNNNNNNNNNNNNNNNNNNNNNNNNNNNNNNNNNNNNNNNNNNNNNNNNNNNNNNNNNNNNNNNNNNNNNNNNNNNNNNNNNNNNNNNNNNNNNNNNNNNNNNNNNNNNNNNNNNNNNNNNNNNNNNNNNNNNNNNNNNNNNNNNNNNNNNNNNNNNNNNNNNNNNNNNNNNNNNNNNNNNNNNNNNNNNNNNNNNNNNNNNNNNNNNNNNNNNNNNNNNNNNNNNNNNNNNNNNNNNNNNNNNNNNNNNNNNNNNNNNNNNNNNNNNNNNNNNNNNNNNNNNNNNNNNNNNNNNNNNNNNNNNNNNNNNNNNNNNNNNNNNNNNNNNNNNNNNNNNNNNNNNNNNNNNNNNNNNNNNNNNNNNNNNNNNNNNNNNNNNNNNNNNNNNNNNNNNNNNNNNNNNNNNNNNNNNNNNNNNNNNNNNNNNNNNNNNNNNNNNNNNNNNNNNNNNNNNNNNNNNNNNNNNNNNNNNNNNNNNNNNNNNNNNNNNNNNNNNNNNNNNNNNNNNNNNNNNNNNNNNNNNNNNNNNNNNNNNNNNNNNNNNNNNNNNNNNNNNNNNNNNNNNNNNNNNNNNNNNNNNNNNNNNNNNNNNNNNNNNNNNNNNNNNNNNNNNNNNNNNNNNNNNNNNNNNNNNNNNNNNNNNNNNNNNNNNNNNNNNNNNNNNNNNNNNNNNNNNNNNNNNNNNNNNNNNNNNNNNNNNNNNNNNNNNNNNNNNNNNNNNNNNNNNNNNNNNNNNNNNNNNNNNNNNNNNNNNNNNNNNNNNNNNNNNNNNNNNNNNNNNNNNNNNNNNNNNNNNNNNNNNNNNNNNNNNNNNNNNNNNNNNNNNNNNNNNNNNNNNNNNNNNNNNNNNNNNNNNNNNNNNNNNNNNNNNNNNNNNNNNNNNNNNNNNNNNNNNNNNNNNNNNNNNNNNNNNNNNNNNNNNNNNNNNNNNNNNNNNNNNNNNNNNNNNNNNNNNNNNNNNNNNNNNNNNNNNNNNNNNNNNNNNNNNNNNNNNNNNNNNNNNNNNNNNNNNNNNNNNNNNNNNNNNNNNNNNNNNNNNNNNNNNNNNNNNNNNNNNNNNNNNNNNNNNNNNNNNNNNNNNNNNNNNNNNNNNNNNNNNNNNNNNNNNNNNNNNNNNNNNNNNNNNNNNNNNNNNNNNNNNNNNNNNNNNNNNNNNNNNNNNNNNNNNNNNNNNNNNNNNNNNNNNNNNNNNNNNNNNNNNNNNNNNNNNNNNNNNNNNNNNNNNNNNNNNNNNNNNNNNNNNNNNNNNNNNNNNNNNNNNNNNNNNNNNNCACAUCACUUAUAAUAUGCCUCGUACACUUAUUAUCAUAUCCAAUUGAUAUCCAUUAUAUUAAUAGUCCUUGUCUGCACACAAAAUAAUAUAAUGAGUGGACAUCAACUUUCUUACUAGCGCUCAAGUACUUCGAAAUUUUUAGGGGUGUUACAUUCUCCCCCACUUAAGAACAUUCGUCCUCGAAUGUUUCACAAGUCACUUCUAUGAAUAGAGUUAUCCUUCUACCUCUAACCAUUAUACAUAGGAACUCAUGACUACAUCGAUCUCAUACUUCAUUUCCAAAAUUUCAACUUACUUAUGGCCCUUAAAAAUUUGGCUAUUUUUACAAAUUCAAAAAAAAUUCGGCAAAGUUUUCCCUGUAACUGGACAUUUCCACCUGCCAGAGAAUCACCAAAAUUAUCCUAUCAAUACAUCCACAACUCGACAAAGCAUCACCAUGUAUAUCAACAUCACAAAUCUCAUCAUUAUAGGCAUUAUAUUAUCAAGAGUGAUAUCUGGACAUGAGCUGCACUGGAACAAUAGACAAAGGAUUUCCAACUACCUUCUUAGACAUAGACACAUGAAACACCGAGUACACAAAGUACAAUAAUAGGGAAACAUAAUAUUCCUAGUUUGGCCUAUUUCCUUCAAGAUUUCAUAAGGCCUAAUGUGACUACACAUACUUUACCUUCCUUAACAAUUAAUCCAAUAUAUUCAUAGAAAAUAUCUUUAGAAUAGCCCGUUCACUUUCUUCAACUCUAAAUCCCUACGCCAAACACCCAAACUAAACCUUUGGAGACCUCCAAUAAUCACUCUAAGAUGUGAUAGCUUGAAUAUGACCAUAAAACUUCCUAUCUAUUAUAUUUGAUCACUGGAUGAUGAUGCUUCUUUGACAUGUUUGAGCCUUCAACCCCCAUUGGUUUCUAUAAUUAUGAACAACAAGGUUCAAUAUUGGCUAAAAUUAUUCAAAAAUUUAUCAAGGUACUGAGCACGGCAUUUUAGGAGGUUAUAUCCUAAGAGACAUGAAGGUUACUACCAAUAGUGCUGACAUUGUUAAUCAUUGUGAUGACAUCAUUGAUUUGACACAUGAGGCAUAGAUUUGCCUAGAGGCAUAAAUGAUCAUCUUGCCAUAUUUCAUCAUUAGUGGAACAUCUAUAUCAGAUUUCUCUUUCAUAUGACCUCCUAGGAAUUGAGUCUACAAAAUUUUCCUUGAUACAGUUACAAUCUUAUUAGUACUUGCAACUUGUUUUUCCAAAUUUCCCAACAAAAGACAUUACUAGGUCAGUUUUCUUAUGGGACCAUCUAUUUCAAAUGAAUAACAUCUACUAGAUUGUGCACACACCCUGAUAACAUCAACAUGUAUGGCAUUGCCUCAAUAUGUGAAGUAACAUCGUUCCCAUACCUUUCUUAGCCACCCUCUUUUCUCCUUAUAAGUCUUAUAGGAUUUUAAGAAACCACUCUACUUCCCUCGUGAACAUUCUCAUGAUCCCUCUUUACUGCUAAAUACUUCCCAAAACACAUAUCAACAUCCUUCAUAUAUAUUUACUUCAACAAAAGUCAUUGGCCCGAACAUGGCCUUUUCUAAAACUUGAGAUCCUCCUAAAUUCUUCAACGACGCCUUCUUGUUUUCCUUAUAAGUGUAGGACUUAGUCCACCUGAUUCCAUCCUCGAUGAAUAACUCACCUUAUUCCCAGUAUUGUAGUCACCAAUAGUGUUUCCUGGUGUAGCAGCGUAAGAGCUAUCAUGUUAAACAUGUUUGGUUCGUAAUAAGUAUUCAUCCUCUCUUAAUCUGUUUCAAACAUUUUCCCUUUGGUCUAGACAAUAUGUUGGUACUACAUUUCCUUUGUGACUAGAGCAUUCACUCCCAUCCCAUUUUGCCCUUAAUUCAUAGUUGACAACCUUAUUGUGCCACACAAGUGUUUGCCUCCCAUGAACUCGUAGUAUCAUUAUGCCUAGUUUGUUGAGUUUAUCACACUACCACUUCAUCACCAGUAGUCUCACUUUCCAAUGCAAUAUGUAGACAUGAACUCCAUCUAUAUCUUUUAAUUGAUAUUCAGUGUUACUCAAGUUGACUGCAUUACAUUUGAUCUUGUAUAUCUUCUAUUAACACUUGUGCUCUAGGCGAGUCCAUCAUUCUGAUACGAACUAUUUUGCGAUAACCAUCUUGCUCAUUCUUUUCCAAUUCUUCUCGCCUCAUUUUUCCUAGUUAGUGAAUAACCAUGCGUUCUUCCAUAUGUUACGUGGUCUUUUUCCUUAGUUGGGAAUUCAUCAUGCUCACCUCUCGACACUUGUUGGGAUAUCCGUGGGAAAGUGUGUUCAUCCGUGUAUCACUUAACACUUCCUUUCUUGUAAGAUUCUUAAGAGACUCUCCAUCAAGUCCCGAUACACUCUUGGGUUAUUAUAACAUCAUAUUUAUCUCUCCCACUCAUUUUGUCUUUCUUAAAGACUUGGAACUUUAGCUAAAUCGUAAAUCCGUGAUUAACUCAUUCUAAGAACUCGCAAGCCUUUCACAUUUGAUCUGUAAUACUUCCUUGGGUUCCAUUGUCCCUGACUCUCUAACAAGUAUAAAACCCUUUUGCAAACCUUACUCUUAGUUUCUAGUAUCGUUGACCUUGUCAUGUAUAUUGCCACGUACGAAGAAUUUACAUUUCCUAACCUUUCACAUUAUUUUCGUACUAGUGGUUUAUCAUUUGCAUACCCUCUCAGAGAAUCACGUUACCCCUUACCACUUUUCUAUACUACACAUGUCUUCAACAAAAUAUCCAAACAUCAUAGCUACAUGGCUCUACUCUCAUUUUAUCGAACUUAAGUAGCCUCACCAUGGCCCUCCCCUCCCCACUUGGGGUGAAUGAUUCACAUUUUGACACAAGUCUUGAAUUUAGCAAUUUGAAGGAGACAUGUUUCACAUCUCUAGUCCUCCUGUAUAUGAUUGACUAUUAGGGAGAUUUAAGUCCCCAUGAUAUUAACCUCAUAAGUUCUCUACUCUUAUUCAGCCACAUAGGCUUGCGAUCCAAAUCCUUCGUGUCAAUAUCCUUUUUGGAGUGUAACACAACUUCGCACAUUCUUGGGAUUUUUUUAUAACAUUCCUAGUGCUAGGGUUUUCUCAUUGUGGGUUCAAUUGACUCUCCUUUCAUAACUUCUUGUCUCCCGUGUGAGACCUACACAUUUAUCAUUACUCUCCAGGCCAUGCCUUUCAUAUAUCACGUGCCUAUGUAAUAAAUUUACAUCUUUGAAUCAUACACAUGGUUCCCACACUAUCCACAUGUACUAGUUAAGCUUAGGCCUCAUUUAUCACGGCAAUGCCUCUUUGGAGGUGGGUAAUCACUUCUAGUACUCUUCUCAUAUAAAGUAUGCUCAUGGUACUAUAUACUUGUCUCGUAUGGUCAUACUAUUCAUUCAACAUGAUACAUGUGCUAUCUGUUUAAUAUUCAGGCCUUUACCCUUUCGUCAUGUCACAUGAUAACAUUACUUGAAAUAAACCAAAAGAGAAUUUAAACUUACCUUGAACCUUAACGCACGAGUUGGAGGAAGAACAGUUUCACAACCAGUUUCAUCGCACGAUUCAGAAUAUCAAAGAAGGGUAUUAUUCCUAAAUGUCCAUGUAGCAUCCUAAUUAUAGAUGUGGUCGACAACACACAAUAAUAAGGACUCUACUAGACACGGCUCCGAGACAUCCUAGGACACUUUAAAACCUUAGGCUCUGAUACCAAGUUUGUCACGCCCCAAAAUCGAGGAGCGCGACCGGUGCUCAACCGAGAGAACCCGUCGAGCAAGCCUGUUAGAUUUCCUUCUACCCAAACUCAUCCAUGGAUAAAGAGGAGAUGUACUCCAUUAAUCAAACACUGGAAAGAUUUCAUUAACAACUCCUAUUUUAUUCCCAUUAGUAGCUCCAUUCAUAAUUUCCAAAAUAUUACAAGUUUAUAGAUAUAAUGAAAAACAUGUCUGUCAAAUACCAACAUUUCUAGUUUUGACUCUCAGCAUCAACCACCACCCACAACCUGUCUACGGAGCCUCUAAGUACAACAAAAGAGUAAUAUGGAAAAUGCCGGCAACAAGGCCCUGGCUAUACCUCAAAACACAGUACAUGAGAAACAAAAUAUACAUGACCCCGAAAUGAAGUGGGGCUCACCAAAUCAGCUGAAAAGAGUAUACUGCUAUUACUGAUCAAUAUAGCCUGUUGUAGAACCACCUGCAUCCAUUAAAGAUGCAGCGCCCCUGGCAAAAGGGACGUUAGUACCGUCGAAUAGCACUAGUAUGUAUAGCUAAAAGUUCUCUUUCAAAAUAGAAUGCCCAUAUAAGAAAAGGCAACACAUAGAGAUAGCAAGUCACAAUCAGCAAUAUCCAAAUGUCCAGUUAAAAUAUAAUAAUUUUUAAAAUACGAACAUCAUAUACAAUUUUUGAUUGGGAGAUCAUUAGCGUCUAUAUUCCACCGUCUUUGUUAGCACGGAGUGCGAUCACGCCCGAUCGGUUAGGCCAUCUCCCUACAGACAAUGUGGUUUGAUAGGUGAUGCGAAAGAAAGUUGUUACCAAGAGUAGUACCGCCAUGUGCGCAACAUGGAGUCCGAUCUCCACCCAAUCAGCUAGGCCGUCUUCCCACAUAUGCCAUGUGGGUUGACUUUUCCAUUCCACAAUUAUUACCAGUUCAUCCCAAUUAAGGGGAAUAAUAUCACAAUUUCAUCCUAAAUAAGGGGAAUAACCACAAUCUACCCCUCGAUUUUAGGUGUGGGCCUUAUGACCCACCCUUCCUCGGUUUUACUAAUGAUGCUCCCAAAAAUAUUUUUGAUUUGAUUUGCACACAAAGGUAAUAUAAAUACAAUUGUACUCACCUCAACAUCUUUCACUUUGUAUAAAUUCUCGUUAGUAUUUCCAGACAUUCACAACGACAAUAUUUCCUUGGCUCAUUUGACCAUUCACAAGAUUCUUUAUUCCUGGCACGAUGGUCGUAUUUCAUAUUUCGCACUUUCAUCUCUUUCAAUUUCAAAGAUCACCAUCAAAUAUCAACAUAUAGAAAAUUUUAGAAAUCAUAUACUUCAAAUCCAUUUGAAAUGGGAACUUCAAACACAAAUGGUUUCUUCCCAAAGAAUGAGGCAUACCAACCAACAAUAGAAACACAUAUAAAAAAUUAUAAACAAUCAAUACACCAUUUACUCUUUCUAUACUCUUCCCCAGAAAUGACAAUGUACAAUUUCAACACAUGAGUAUAUAGAACUCGAAUCACACUGGAUAUAUUUUUAAAGUAAAACAUUAGUUAAAACAGCCACUAAUGGGCAUGAAUUGAAUACAAAAGCUUUUAGGCAAAUUCUAUUUUUCAAAUCACUUUUAACACCGUUGAGUCGAGACUCAUUUCAUAUUCUUUAUCUAAAUCAUUUGCACUACUAGCCAUAGUCAUAACUUAAAUUCUUGGCACGUUUACCACACUCUAUAUCCCUAAUACAAUUAUUUCAUUUCCAACCACCUUUAUAGGUUAUCAACAAUAAGACAUUUACAAUCAAGACUUUAGGUACACAUAUGAGCAAUUAUGAGUCUUAAGCAUCUCGAGUAUUUCUCACCCAAUUGGUAUACUAGUUUUCAUUUAAAACACGACUCAAAGCCAUAACAUUUUAAUACACAAAUCAUACUUUGAACAUCGACUUAUCGACAUAAGGCUCAUUCGGAAUAAUCAAGUUUAUAGGGAAUAACCCGGAAUAUAGAAGUUAGGAAUCUUGAUCCAAUCAUACUUGAUCUUACGGAAACAUUAUGGAAUUCGAUUCUAAGAGAGAAAGUUUAGCCAACAUACCUCAAAUUCUUCUCUUAAUGAUACUACAAUGAUGCACUACACUAAUCAACUUCAAUCUACAAUAACAACAUCCAAUGAGACCAAUAUUAGUAACAAAUCCCAUAGGUUCAUUGUAUUCAUAAAUUUCAUCGCCAAGAUUACCAAUCACCUUCUCUCUUAUUUUCUCAAAAGUACUAUUCAUGCCAUGAACUAGAGUUUUAUAAUCCAAUCUUUCAACCAUUAAAACUUGUAACAAAUGCUUCAAAUACUUCUAACUACUCAUAAUAAAUGAGUUUGAAGCAUUGGAAUUACCUCUAGUAGAUCAAUCUUGAAAAAUCACAACUUCGGUGAUUUUUGUGUUCUUGAGGAUUUGAUGAUGAAAUCUUAUAUUUGGAUGUAAGAAUCAUGUUUAGAACUCAUGUAUAUUGAGUAAUAAUCAAUCCAAAACNNNNNNNNNNNNNNNNNNNNNNNNNAUCAUUAACAAUUACCUUGGUCGAUUGGACUUGAUUUGAGCUCAAAAUCGCCCCUUCACUUCAAGAACCCUAACCCCAAAUACACAAAAUACCCUUUUUACCCGACCUUGUAUUUAUAGGCCCAGAUUUCUGGGUUUCGAAUGCGGCCCUGGAUGCUUCGCAUCCCCACUUCACUCCUCUUUGAAGCUCGGAUACGGACCUGGACGCUAUGGCAGCACUUCACUAUGAGCCUCUCUUUCGGACGUGGCCUCAGAUGCUUCGCAUCUGCAGGCUCCUCCGCCAGCCUUUGGUAAUUUGGUCAUAACUUCUUGUAGGAAUGUCCAAAUGACAAACGGUUUAAAGCGUUAGAAACUAGACUCAAAGACCUUUAAUUGGAUAGAUCAUACAUCACUUUACUCCUUAUAAAUAUAUAUAUAUAUAUAUGCUCGUUCAAAGUUUAGUCUUGUGCGUACUCAUUUGGAACUUUAGUCUAUCAUGAAAUUUCUAACUUGACUUGGACUUAGGGCUCUCCUUAGACCCACAUCACUUAUAAUAUGCCUCGUACACUUAUUAUCAUAUCCAAUUGAUAUCCAUUAUAUUAAUAGUCCUUGUCUGCACACAAAAUAAUAUAAUGAGUGCACAUAAACUUUCUUACUAGCGCUCAAGUACUUCAAAAUUUUCUGGGGUGUUAUAUAAACGUUCUCGAAUUUGUAAUUUGAUGAUUCCAAUAGUUUUGGAUGGUAAUCUUGGACUUGACCGUAUGUUCGGAUUUGGAUUUAGAGGUUCCUAGAAGGUUUUGGCUCUAUUUGCCGAAAGUAAGUAAUUUGAAGGAUUGGAGAGUUCAGACGUUUGACAAGAAGUUAACUUUGAUGUUAUCAAAGUUCGAUUGGUUUUUCUAGACUUUGAAUAGAUUUAUUUGGCUGUAUGGAACUUGUGUGCAAAGUUUGUUUGUAAUCCGGAAUGUGUAAGUGAAUUCAUAUGGAUUCGGCAAAGUUUGAACUUUUUUAAGUUAAGAGACGAAUCUGAUCUUCGAUUCUUGGUUUUAAGGUUGUUUUUUAUGUUCUGAGCCUCGGUACAAGUUUGUAGGAAGUAUAUGGACUAGUUAAAACGAUUAGACGGGGUCGCGGGGGGGAUCAAGAGUGUUUCAGGAUGGUUUCAACCAUUUUGGUUAAGUUUGGAGCAGUUGAUUUGCUGUUGUGCUGUAGUGCUUCACGAUCGCGGAGGAGGAUUUGGCCUGUUGUACUUUGUCAAUCACGUUCGCGGUCAGGAGGUCGAGAUCAUGUAGGCUUGUGGGCAGGUGAUCAUCGCAUUUCUCAUGGGAGAACUAGAACAAAUAUAAUCUCCGUUUGAAUAUGCGAUUAUCAUUAGUGGACUAGCUUAUAUUUGUUCCUCAAAACUAACGACUUUCAACUUCUUAAUUUUACCCAUUUAAAACAAAAUUUCUUAUUAAGACAGAGUAUUAUUAUGCAAGACGAUAAUAUUGACCACAAAAUUAUUUUGUAAAAUGUUUUAAACAUAAAAAUUACACAGAUCCGAAAUAGUUAAAGAGCCGAAAAAAUCUAACUGCUCCUCAUAUUCAUGUCUUUUCCCUAUUUAAUUUUUUUACUCUCCUGAAAUUUUACAUUUAUUAAACAGAAUACCAAUUAUAGAAAACCAAUUAUUUUUAUGGAACUAAAUAAUCUUCAAGAAAACAAAUACAAAUUAAAAAAUUUAAUUUAGUGAAAAAUAUAACAACAACAACAACAACCAACAACCUAGUAUAAUUUCACUAGUGGGGUCUGGGGAGGGUAGUGUGUACGCAGGCCUUACCCCUACCCUGAGAUAGAGAGGUUGUUUCCGAUAGAUCCUCGGCUCCCUCCCUCCAAGAACUACCCACCUUGCUCUUGGGGUGACUCGAACUCGUGGAGGGUGCUUACCAUUAGAGCAACCCACUCUUGUCUAAGGUGUGCCUGGAAAAUAACCUACCCACUAAAUUAAUUUAGUGAAAAAUAAUUUUAAAAAAUGAAAAUAUUGCAGAGAGUUAUUAUAUACACUUAACAAGAAGUUAUAAUCUUGCUGAAGAAGUUGUGAUUGCUAUCAUGCCAAAAAGAACAAAAUCCAUCAAAUAUUAAUUUUAUUUCUUUUGAGCUAAAUUUAUGCAUAUAGUUAUAAUUGCAUAGACAAAUAAGUAUUAAUUUUCAGAGACAGAAAUCGAAAGAGAGAAGACUUAUUAGUUAUCCUUUGAGCAAAGUAAAAUAUUUUGUGAAUAUCUGCUUUUGACAUGUAUUUCUGAAAUAAAAAAAUUCUACAUAUUCUUUUUUUUCUUCCUUUUGUUAUUUUAGAAAUAGAAAUUAAAUUUUUGAUUCUAAAAUAAAAGAGUUAACCCAAAAAUAAAUUCAGUUAGUGUUGAAUGCAAAUAUAAAUUAAUUCACUCAUGAUAAAGAUAAUUUUUGGAUCAAACACAACAAUGGCGGCAGUCAGAAGGAAACAGAGCAUCACAAUGGCCUCGAAUCUUCUGAAAACCCUAACAGGAAGAUCUUUCAAUUUCCCCUCAAAUUCGAGAAGCCUUAGCGGUGAGAUCAUCACCUCCCACACUGCCAAGUGGAUGCAGGUAUUAUAGAUGUUCCUUUCUCUAAUUAGUUUUCCCCAAAAUUUUCUCCAGUACGAAAUGAUGAUGGAUAUAUUAUUCCGUUUUUUUUUUUUUGUGUGUGUGUGUGUGGCUGUUCACCAUUGCUUUUUGGAGUUUAAUUUAGUUCCUAGCUUAUUGAUUCACAAUUAUCUCUGAAACUGAAAUGAGUCAGAUCGAAUUUCCGGAACCUGGAGAAAUAAAGCAAAUAGUUACGGCUAGUCAUAUUUUAAUACCCUAAGAAGCUUAACUACAGAAAAAGUUAACACUGUGGAACAACUAUGUUUGUUUAUAAAAAAGGGAGAAGGACUAGUUUUCUUCUUCUCCUUUCAUUUUCUUAAUCUCUCCCGGUCAACUUGACAACUUUAACAAGGGAACAAGAAUUAUAUAAGUAAGAGUUGUAUCUGAAGUGUGCUUUUCCGAAGCUGGUUGUGUAACAUGUUGGGGUCAAUUUUAUAUCUUGUGCAAAAAUUAAUUUUAUAUCUUGUGCAAAAAUAAGGGAACAUUGUCUAUAUAUUGAAAUCUAUGCUAAAUGGUAUCACGCAUGCACACACUUACAAAUGAAUAGAUCUUAAAACUGACGGCUCAAGCUAGGUAUAUCGUGCUAAAAGCUUCUUGUUUAUUUGAGUUUUAGCAAUACCAUAUGGUGUAAUUCAGAUGCUUCUAAUGCAUGACUAUCAUCCUACUAUCUGAUUGAUUCGUUAGAUAGUGAAGAUUGUUCUAUCCUCAAAAGUAGUCAGUUGAGGACUAAGAAUGUUACGGCAGAUGUAAAAUUGCAUAGAGAGAGAAAUGUAUACUCAUCAUCGGAGCAACUGGAGGAAUAAAGCUACUGAUGGGAUAACCAUGUAAAUCGGGUAAUCUUUAUGUUUGGAGGAUUGCAUGGAGAAAGAUUAAAAUUUCAAUGGUAAAAUUUUCCAUUUAUUUGAAUGGGACUCUUCGCAGAUUCUUUGGUAGCUUGGGGGGUAAGAAAUUCCUUUGUCUUUGUGAUUUUUGAAAUGGAGGCACUCAUUAGACCAAGGAAAAUAACGUGUCAUUGAGGGAAUCGGGGUAGGUGAUGAGAAAAGGGGAAGAAUGGUUAUCUCUCACCCAUUAUUUGUUGGUACUCUAAUCUCUGUGGGCCAUAGGCUUGAUAGCUUCAUACCUAUUCAGAAGUUUGACAUGGUUCAAAAUUGUGUUAGAGCUGCAUAUUUAUAGAGGAAUAAAGUAGUGCCAAUGGGUGUUAAUGAUUUAAACUUUUGUGUUGAAAGAGGAAAGACCUUUUUAUAAUAAAUAGAAAAGACUUUUUAGCUUAUUUUGGACUGUGCUAUACAUAAACCUUUGGUAAAGAUUUUCUUUUUAUUUUUUAAAUCGAAGCGAUAAAGGGCUGAAUCUCAGUCGAUCAUGGCACAAUACAUGAAUCUUCUUAGUACUUAUUCUGGAAAAAAUACACAAUUCUUAUUAGUUCAUGAAUUAGGAGCUAAAAAGAUGCAUGCAUCUAUUGCUUAUUCAUGUAAUCAGGAAAAAGGUAAAAUGUAGUCUUAAAUGAUACUAGACUAUAUAUAUAUUAAGGUGUCCAUGUGUUCUAGUCAUUUUGUUCAAAUCAAGUUGAGUGAAGUAAUUGAAUCAUAGUUUCCUCCACUUGUCAUCCUGCAAUUUGAGUAAUUGACUGUGCUUCUAUUCUCCAAAACUCUAACAUUUCCAUCAAAGAAAAUUUUCUUAGGUACAUGUGAGAGUUCAAAAUUCUUGAAGGCUAAGAGAUAUUCUUGAAAAUUUGAAAGAUAAAUAAAUCUGGUCUUCAUCCAAUUCCUGUUUGUGCCAUGUUCUUGUAUGUACAAGAGGCUAACAGGUGGGAAAUGAGGAUGAGAGCUUUUCCUUUUUUUUUUCCUUCAGAAAGUAAGGUAUUUUAUUGUAACCAGCAUCUACUGAACUCUUCGGAAUAUGCAUUGCAAAAGCAAAAAGUCAACUUUUUUUGUGCACAUGUGUGGAGUUGAGGAAGUCUAAUAAGCAGUGUAGCUCCAUUACGUCAAGAUAUUUGCACCAAAAAGCUAAAGAAGUACAUUGUAAAUAUCUGUGGUGUUUCUUGGCCAAUGCCUAAUAGCACAAGGGGUCUACUGAAGUGCUGGCAGGGACCGGAGAUGAAGAAGACUUGAAACAAAUCUGGAUUGCUAUUUCUCUAUGCAUUCUUUGGACUCUUUGGUUGGAGAAAAAUAAAACUUGUUUUGAGGGAAAAAGCCGUAUCUCUUGAAUGAAGAACAAAUGUUUGCAUAAUCAUUUUUUCUGGUGUAAGAGUAGGCAAAUUGGUAGUAGGGAGCAGUAUAUGGAUUUCUUGUAACUGUUACGAGGAAGAUAGCAGUUGCAAAUGUGAUAUAGUACAGUAUCUUCUGGUCUGUCUUGAGUCCUGUACUUUUUCAUACCAUAUUUGUACCGUUGUUUAAUAAUACCUUUGCCAAUAAAAAAAAAGGUUCUUCUGGCCAGCUGGGGCGUUAGAGGAAUGCGUAAAUCAGUAAGGAAAAUUUGGAAUACAGUGCCAGCAUGUGUGUGUUGGAUAAUAUGGAAGGAAAGGAAUGCAAGAUGCUUCGAAGGGAAAAUAGAGGGUAUACCGAAGAUUAAGUACACUUGCUUAUGGUUUUGGCUUUUUGGUGUAAUCUACAGGAUGUUCCAGAUGGAUAGUAUGCUUGACUUUGACUCACUACGGAGUAGGAUUUUGUGUCGGUGGAAUCUUCUCUCUUUUGCUUUGUACGGAAUGGUUCCAAAUUUGUAUUUUCCUGGCAUUAACUUAGUGCCAGAUUUCUGAUUUAAUAUAAUUGCUACUUUACCGGUUAAAAAAAAAAUUCCACUAUCUCUUAAUUGAUUUGUUCUUCUCCUCUAGCGUUACACCAAUUACCAUUGAUUUAUCAAAUUUGAUUGUACCUUUUAUGCAUAUUGAUCAUUUUUAGAAAAGUUUUGUUUUACUGUCAGUCUGUCACCUUGAUUUAACCAUAGACAUCUUGAUUCUUGUCUCCAAAAGAUUUCUUCCUUUUCACUACAUCAUCAAUUUCUAUGAUUAGACAGGCCUCUGGGCAGUUCCUUUUUUUCUGCUUCCCUAUCCAUCUCCUGUAAUUUCUCUAACACUUCUGUUUUCUUCUUCUCUAAGUUCCCAAAGGAGCUGAAGUCCCAUUCCUUAAGGUUCGCGUUUAGCAAUCUAAAUUUUCCUUUGUUUUUAUUCACCAUUGUUGAAGUCAAUACUCUCUUAUCUGCCUAGUAUUAUGUCUUCAUUUUGUGUAUAUGCGGCUGAUGUAGAUAGGUUAUAGGAAAUGAUGACAAGCUUCUUGUGGAGGUUGGAGGAAAGAUGUUUCACUAGGUAGAUUAUGGAUACUAAGAAAAUAUUAACCGUUUAUUUGGUGGUUGAAGAGUUGGAUUAGCAACCUUGAUAGCAGAGUCCAAAGGGGUGGCCCGGUGGUUGAAGAGUUGGAUUAGCAACCUUGAUAGCCAAUGUUUGAAUUCCAACAGAGUUGACACUAGGUGAAUUCUUCUUAUUUGCCCAAGUCUUGGUGGGUAAUUGGAUAUAGUUACCCGACAGGUGGUAGCGGGUUGCAGUACCAGGUGAAUUAAUAUAGGUGUAUGCAAGCUGAUCCAUGCGUAGAUAUUUGGAACUUUUAUAAAAGAUGUACAUGUAUUUGGAAUAACAUGACAUGUGGUUAAGCUACCCAUUCACUUUGCACAUACUUUCUUGGUCUGUUAGAGGGAUUUUAAUUUUUCUUUUUAAACUUGUUGACUAUCUAAGUUAUUCCAUGCUCAUAGGUAAAGGGAAUUUCUUCAUUCCCUCAAUUCGGUUUGGUGUGGAGCCCAGAGGGCUCGGGUGAGUUUCAGAUUGAUUUGGGUUGGUUUCUUAGCAGUUGGUGUAAUGGUCCUGCAGUUAUUGCAAAUGCGAGCACCAUUUCGCAUUUGCGGUCACCGCUUUUGCGAAAUACUUAUCGCAUUUGCAAAGCCACCCUCGCAAAUGCGAAUUGGGAUUGGACUGGGGCAUCUCGCAUUUGCGACCAUUUGGGCCACUUUUGCGAAGGGGCCAACUUCGCAAAUGCGAAGUCAGUGUCGCAUUUGCGACAUCCUCUAGGAUCUGCAGGCAUCGCUUUUGAGAUGGAUUUUCCGCAUUUGCGGGGUUCGCCAGGCCGCACUUGCGAGACCUGCAUCUGAGCAAUAAUGGGAUUUCGGGACUUAGCUUCAUUUAUCACAUUUUAGAACCCUAGACUCGGUGGGAGGCGAUUUUGAGAAGAGAUUUUCAUACACAACUAUUGGGUAAGUGAUUUUAAUCCACUUUCAAUUAUAUUGCAUGAUUGUUUAUGAGAUUUAACAUCUAUUUCAUGAGAAUCUAAGAGAAAUUUUUGGGGGGCUUUUGUCUAUGUUUUGAAAAAUAAAAAUUUGAGAUUUGAGAGUCGAAUUGGACUCGGAUUUGAAAAUAAAACACAUAUAUGGACUCGUGGGAUUAUGGAUAGUGAAGAUCUAUCAUUGGACUCGGGUUUUGACCGGUGUGUCAGGGGUUGACUUUUGUUGACUUUUGGGGAAUUGUGUAAGAUCUUAACUUUAAUUAUCAGAUUUGGUUUCUCUUGCAUUGUUUGAUGAUAUUAAGUCGUUUUUGUUAGAUUUGAGUCGUGUGGAGGCGAAUUUUAAAGGAAAAGCUACUUUUGAGAGUUGAUUUGGCCUAAUUGAGAUUAGUAUCUUGCCUAACUAUGUGGGGGAAAACUUACCCCGUAGGAUUUCGUUUAAUUGCACUAUUUGAAUUAUGUGGAAGACGUGUACAUGGGGUGACGAGUGUGUGCACGGGCUUAUAUGUGAAAAUUGACCGGUUUAGAUUCUUAGGUUACUUGAAUGCAUUUAAUUGAAGUUAUUAUUACAUGGAAUAUCUUUAAUUGUUGAGUUUAUUCUUCCGUUUCAUUGCGUUGUUGUUGAAACUCUUGUAUACAUUGUUGUUGAGCCGUGGGCUAUGCGCUGUUGUGAUAUUGGUAUUGUUGGUUUGGCUAUGUUGUGGCAUAUGGGCACGUGUGGUGCGAGUUGAUUAUUGUGUUGUGAUGAGAUGCGCAUCCGGCGGCAUAAGGGUGGUGAUAUUAAUGCGCAUGCGGCGAGAUAAAGGGGUUUUAUGCGCAUGUUGCUAGUAAGGGGAAUUACUUCAUUUUGAAGCACACAUAGCGAGAUAUGAGGGCUAAAGCGUGUGAAGCUAUUUCGGGAAAAAUAUUUUUAAAAUUAAUGUAAGGCUCACGCGGCGUUAUAAGGAAAAGUUGUAAUUUGUGAUUAUGAGGUAUGGUACCUCGGGGUGAUUCCUGUUGUAAACUUCUUGUUGGUAUGGCUUGAUUAGUUGAACUGCCAUUUGUUUUCCUUAAUCGAUUUCGUUCAUAUUUUAACUGUGUUCUUAUUAUUUUGUUGUUUUAUCACAUGCUUACUUUUGUUGUCACUUAUCUAUUCAUUUUUGCUUUCCGUUGUUAGCUUUAUAUUUAUAUAUUUGCCCAGAUUUUUAUGUCUAAUGAGUGUCUUGACUCGAAGCUCGUCACUACUCCACCGAGGUUAGUCUUGAUACUUGGGUUCUGAUUGUGGUGUAUGCAUAAUAUGCUUCUGCACAUUUUUGUGCAGAUCCAGGUACCUUGGAGCGUGCUGGAUGUUAGCUAGCUGUUUGAGAUUUACUGUGGAGACUUCAAGGUAUACAUGUCAUUUCGCUCGCAUGCCUCGGAGUCACCUUCUAGGGCUUUACUUUACUACUGUUUACUUUCAUUCCAAAACAGUGAUGUAAUUGAUAUUCCUAGUUUACUCUCACCAGAGCUUAUGACUCUGUACUACCGAUUUUGGGAUGUGUUACUGUUGGUCAUUUUGACUAUGCUAUGCCACUUAUCCAUUUUCGAUUAAUAGUUAAUUGGAUUUAAUCUGUUAAUCUCAGCAUGUAUUAGGCUUACCUAGUCAUAGAGACUAGGUGCCAUCACGAUCCUAGAGGCGGGAUUCGGGGUCGUGACAUCAAACACCCACACAAGUCUAAAGACAUCAUAUGAGCUAGCUCGCUCGAUCAAAACGCCAAAAUAACAUCCGGAACCACGAAUCGGACACCAAAACACAUAGAAAAUUACAUUGAACUCAAGAAUAGCUAAAAACACAACCAUGCAUUCGAUUCAUAUCAAACCAACUCGGAAUGACACCAAAUUUUGCGGACAAGUUCCAAAUGAAAAAACUGACAUAUUCCAAGUCUCGAAACUAAAAUUCAAACCCGUUAGCCAUAAAAUGAACAUAAAACGGUCAAUCUUUGGUAAUUUCUAAACCUUCAAAUUGCCAAUUUCCAGCAAAACAAGCCAAAUCAACCUAGGAACUUCUGAAUUCAAUUUCGAGCAUACGCCUAAGUCCGAAAUCACCAUUCGGACCUAACGGAACCGUCAAAACUCCGAUCCAAGAUCAAACACACAAAAGUCAAACUUGGUCAACUCUUCCAACUUAAAGCUUUCUAGUCGAGAAUCAUUCUUCCAAAUCAAACCACUCGAAAACCAAAACCAACGAUAUACGCAAGUCAUAGUACACCAUAUGAAGCUACUCGUGACCUCAAACCACCAAACUGAAUGCAAAUGCUCAAAACGACUGGUCGGGUUGUUACAUUCUCCCCCACUUAAACAUACGUUCGUCCUCGAACGUGCCAAGAGUCGUCCCAAAGUCAUCAAAUCAUUGUAUAAACAUUCAUACCCAUACCUAUGGGUGAUCUCACGUUAUCCCUAUCCAUAUAAGUCUGACAACACAAUCUAACCGAAAAUCUUUACUUAACAUUAGCUCACAACCUUUAGAACCCAAUCUCCAACUUCCGAAAUUUAUUAUAAGGCCCGAUUCUCGCAUCUAUACGCUGUAUAAGUCUGAAUCAAGCUACAUCAAGCUGUAAUCAUAUCCCAAGUAUAAUUACAUGAUAUUCCACAUAACCCAGAUACACAUAGCAAUAGCUUCCGAUCAUAAUAGCUGCUCAAAUAGCAAACCCGGUACCGAUAUCCAACCUCCUAUCAGUAAAAACCUUGUUCCAAAUCUUUGUACGCUGCCAAUGAUGAAAGAGACACGCAAAAACUCAUAACUAUCCAUCACAUCAACAAGUCACGGAGCUCUCUUGCCCGACAAGAACCAUAGCCAAAAUCUAAGUUGACUAGUGACACUGUUCUUCCAAGCAUACCUUAAUCAAAUCCGAUGACACUCAUUUCAGGCCCAAUAACUUUACCUCAUCCAAUACAAGCUGCUCUACCAACAUGCCACACCAAUCCUACCUAGAGCCACAUACCAUGCAAUCCGUGCACCAAACAAGCGACAACUCGAAUGUUCCCAAUGAUGGAAAGAAAUCAAAUGAGAGAACCGCCCCGCAAGCUCAGCAUAUACCACCACGAAGCGCAAUGCUAUGAACCCAUCACACAACGAUGAAACAAAACACGAAAUAAGCACAAAGGAUCAUAUUCCAACAUAACUCCGCUGCGAUGCGUAACCCAAUCCAAACACCGGUUCACAUGGAAUACGUCGAGCCAUGAUGCUCACAAUCAACAACCAUAUGCAUAUCAACAACAAACACGCGAAGCGCAUGACCAUACCAUGGAGAUACAGAUAUCACUAUAUACCACAAACUGGAAGACCAUAAUCAUGGCACAAUCAACCAUUCAACACCUCAAGAGCCAUCUCGCUCGAAUUUCACCACAAAGCCCAAACAUAACCACAUCAUGUGUGUAAAUAGUCAACAAUCUCAUAACUCAUCGUGGCAUAGAAAGGUAACACAUGGAACACAUUAGAACACGAAUAAGAUCCACUCCGACCGAUAACACACCCCUCCACAAUAACUGUGCUGAGUAGACAAAUCCAACUCGAUGUAGAACAUACAUUCUCGUUAGGCCUACCAGUGGCCUCCAAAUCAAUUCCGAUCCUCCCGAAAUAGGUAGAUAACCUCCGAAAGCCCACAAUAACAUAUCCAUAGCACACACACUCAGUCGUCAACCUCUUAACAUGCCUUUAUCGUUCAGUCGUUCACAACCAUGUAACAAUCUGCCUCUGAGAACCCUCUUAGUCUUCAAAUCCUUAGAAUACCAGAAUCUCCAUAUCCGAUCCCAACUACACUACCUAAAUGACUGACACAUUCCUCAUACACGAUCAUUCCACGAGAAAUACUUCCAUAAUUCUUAUGUCACAUAGCAAAAUCUAACAUUAGCAGUCGAUCAAUCAGGCGAUUACCGUAAUACCAGUAGGCAUCCGCAAGUCGAAGCACAGUGCGCACCUUUCUCAAGUGGUAUCAAAUAAUGCUAGCAUUCUUCUAAACAUCUGAAAUCGUCCAUGCUAUCUAGAACUCGUGACCUCAUACAUUAGAAAAAUCAUAACAUGCAACAUGUUCCUUAUGCCGGUAGCAGACAUCCGGCUCAAGCCGGGGUCGACACUAUCAAGAACUCUUCGAAACCCGCCCGCUCAUAACCAAGCCAUCAUAAUUGAAUUUCCCCAGCUCAACCAAGUUAUGCAAGCCGUCAAACCCAAGAGUAUUGCCACAAAACACCAGUAAAAUAUCACCACACCAAAGGAAUCAAUAACCUUUAUUACAAUGUUGACCCUACUCCACCAAGCUGACCCAUUUCUUCGAAUCCUCCUCGACUUGCCUUCAAGUUUAACACUUCUUCUUGCCGGUACACUACGAUCCUAAACCAAAGAUCACCGCAAGAGAUCCUGGCACGAACCACGUCGUCCGAAAGCCUAUAAAUCACUGUAUUUCCUUUGAAACACCCAAUAAUGCCGCAACCAAGAUAUCCACUCUGAAGAGACCUUCUGUGAAUCUGAAAGAUGUUUCUCUAACAUCUGAUACUGAAAUGUAAAAUUAAUAAUGACACGGAAAUACUGCAAGUCUCAGUACUAUCCCAUGCAAACCUCAGAUCUUAGCCAUAUACAAUUUCGGGGAACCCUCUCAUACCACAUAUAUACCUCAGACCAAAACUAAUAUAACACAUGACCAUGCAAUCUAAUCGUCGAUAGCAGACUCCCCCACUUGGCGCGAAGCCAUAGGACACAACAUCCAGUGAUCCACAAUACCAACAACCUUCAUAAGCUCGUAUAACAUCAAUCAUAAGAUACCUCAAAUCAUUUACUAAGCGCAUAUCCAUCUUCGUGACAGUCAAGUUUGUUUCCUCAAGUGCCUCGAAUGAUAAUAUGUACCUUCCACUGAAUAGAAGUCCCAUACAAAAUACAUAACCUCUAAUACCAUUGACUACCUCAAAUCAACAUUCUCCCAUGACCCUACCACGAUCAUAACAACUAGGCAAUCAAUUAAAUCCUCCCUAGCUCGUACUCACCAACCAAAUACCAGAACCCGCUGCAUCCCACACGUGAACAACUGGAAGAUCUACCAACACAUCCGCGUCCUCAGUCUAGAGACAAUGAUCGAGCAUCCAUAGCCCCCUUCUAGCCCAUCCGCAGCAUCACAAACCGUCGGUGCUUAGCUGAUACCCAGUGCGCAACAUCAUAUAUGAGUGAAUGUUAAAGAAUAUAAGAUAUACGUAUCAAGCUGAAUCAAUGCCGCACGAUAAGGAAUGAAAGAAGUGGAAUUUCUUAAUAGUUCCGUAGCCUCUCGAAGAUGAGCACAGACGUCUCCGUACCAAUCGCAAGACUCUACUAAACUUGCUUAUGACUCAUAGAACCUAUGAACCUAGAGCUCUGAUACUAACUUAUCACGACUCCAAAUCCCACCUCUAGGAUCGUGAUGACACCUAGUCUCUAAGACUAGAUAAGGCUAACACAUGCUGACAUUAACAGAUUAAAUCCAAUUAACUAUUAAUCGAAAACGGAUAAGUGACAUAGCAUAAUCAAAAUGACCAACAGUAACAUAUCCCAAAACCGGCAGUAUAGAGUCCUAAGCUCUACUGAGAGUAAACUAGGAAUAUCAAUUACAUCGCUGUUUUGGAAUGAAAGUAAACAGUAGUAAAGUAAAGCUCCAGAAGGUGCCUGCGAGCGUAAUGGCAAGUAUACCUUGAAGUCCGCAGCAAAUCUCAUAUAGCUAGCUAACGUCUGGCAUGCUCCGAGGUACCUGGAUCUGCACAAAAAUGUGCAGAAGCGUAGUUUGAGUAUGCCACAAUCGGUACCCAGUAAGUAUCAAGAUUAAUCUCGGUGGAGUAGUGACGAGGUUCGAGUCAAAACACUCACUAGACAUAAAAACCUGGGCAAGUAUAUCAAUAUAAAGCAAAAAUGAAUAGAUAAGUGACAAUAAAAGUAAGCAUAACAUAUGAUGAAUCAAUUAAGGAAAACAAAUGGCAGUUCAACUAAUCAAGCCAUACCAACAAGAAUCACCCCGAGGUACCACACCUCAUAAUCAAAUAUCACUAGUCACAACUCUUCCUUAUAACGUCGCGUGAGCUUUACAUUUAUUUUAAAAAUAUUUUUCCCGAAAUAGCUUCAUGCGCUUUAGCCCCAUUAUCUCGCCGUGUGUGCUUCAAAAUGAAGUAAUUCCCCUUUCUAGAAACACGUGCAUAAAACCCCUUAUCUCGCCGCAUGCGCAUCAAUAUCACCACCGCAUGCGCAUCUCAUUACAACACAAUAAUCAACUCGCACCACACGUGCCCAUAUGCCACAAUAUAGCCAAAACAACAAUACCAAUAUCACAAUAUAGCCAAAACAACAAUACCAAUAUCACAACAAUGUAUAGCCCACGGCUCAACAAUAAUGUAUACAAGAGUUUCAACAACACAAUAAAACGGAAGAAUAAACUCAACAAUGAAAGAUAUUCCAUGUAAUAACAACUUCAAUUAAAUGCAUAUAAGUAACCUAAGAGUUUAAAUCGGUCAAUUCCACAUAUAAGCCCGUGCACACACUCGUCACCACAUAUAAGUUUUUUUAGUGUGUGUUUAUCAUAUAUAGAAAGGCUGCUAAAGUAAUUUGGGAGAAGCUCAUGCUUUUGAAAAGAAUGGACAGGUUUAAACCAAAAUCUAAGUUGCUCAGAUAUGGCAGUUUAGGUGCCGCACCCGUGACAACACAACACUAGUAUGGGUGUGGAUAUGGGAUCAAUGCCGGAUCUGCUCAGACAAUUUUUGGUACUUUGACCACGAUGGACGGAAAAAUUCGAGACGAGAGACAAUUUGAUUCCCGAAAUCAGAACAAAAAAUAGGGUAAAUUGAAGAAAAUAACAUACCUUAUCUAGAAAAUCAAUCCUUUAUUUAUCUACAAUAAUAACAAUAAACACAGUGGAGUCCUACAAGUGGGAGUCUGAGGACGAUAGUUUGUACACAGAACUUAGCCUACCCUUAGGAGGUAGAGAGGCUGUUUCCGGUAGACCAUCGACUCAAGAAAAUGAAAAGCAACAAUAGAAACUAGCAGUAUCAACCACAAAGGCCAGAAAGCAAGUAUUCCACAAAAUUUCUAAACUUGAGAAUAAAAAAAGAAAUCUACACUUUGCAAGCUAUACGUAAGCAUUUCACGAAAUUUCUCAUAAUUUAGAGAUAUUUAUAUUUAUAUUUGUUUGAAUUAUUUUUAGCUGGGGGCACCCGCAUCAAUACUAGUAGUAUCCCCGAAUCUUAGAAUUUACAUCUCAAAGAAUCCGACCUCUAGAUCCGUACCCAUGUCGGAUACUUGUACCCGUUUUCGAGCAACUUAGACUAAAAUUAUUAUAGAAAAUAAAAAGGCUCGCGAACAUGAUGAGUGGAGCUUCUUUGUUGGAUUGCACUUCAAAAAAGGCUAGUCGCACAGAGGAAAAAUCUGAGCUUGCUUGAGUAGAUUGUGAGCUGGCUUCGCUUCCAUCCCAUCAUAGUUGCCAUCAUAGUAGCAAUCUAUUUUGCCAUGAUUGAUAUGGAAUGCUAGUACUUUAAUGGAAUUGUUACCAAUGCUUACUGAAAGCCUCAGUGAUCAUCUUAUUGAGAACUUUGAGAAAAGGUCAAAAAAUGAUUACCUUGUUUUCACUAUGCUUUAUAACCUUCAGCCUUAAGUGCCUAAUACAAACAACAAAAAACCCAUUAUAGUCCCACAAGUGGGGUCUGGGGAGGGUAGUGUGUACGCAGACCUUACCCCUACCUUGAAGGCAGAGGCUUUUUCCAAACAUAAGUGCCUAAUAUUGUCUCAAAUUUAAGUACUCUUUUCUUUUCCUAAUUGCUUUCUGGUGCUUAAUGGUAGGAUGCUAGCAAGAAAUCUCCCAUGGAAUUGAUCAAUGAAGUUCCACCUAUCAAGGUUGAGGGUAGGAUUGCUGCCUGCGAAGGAGGUAAUUUGAGUAUCAUUUCUUUUCCAAAAAUUUAAUAUCAUUUCUUCUUGAAAAUGUGCUUUCGAUAACAUAUACUGCUUCCACUUGCCCCUAAAAAAUAAGGUAAUUACUGCUUCCGUUACAAGUUUAAAUUUGUGUAAAAAUGCUCUUAUAUAUUCUGGUGCAGACACUCCUGCUCUUGGGCACCCAAUUGAGUUUAUUUGCCUUGAUAUGAACGAGCCAGCAGUGUGCAAGUAUUGUGGGUUACGCUAUGUUCAAGAUCAUCACCACUAGGGUCUGCGCAAUGGAAAUUCCUGAACUUUACUUUUAUAUGCAAGUGGCAGAGAUUACAUUAUUCAUUUGUACUAUUGAUACUGGCAGUGUUCCUUCUUCUAAUAAAGGAUCAGCUUUGACAUGUAAUACAGAUUCCUUUUAGCUGUUGCGCUUCAACAUAUAGUUUAGUUCCCUUUGAUUGAUUUUUCUGUUGAUUGCAAAUUCUCUUAUCCUUUGCACUCACG
rnacentral:lncRNA from 1 species